rnacentral:rRNA from 1 species
UGAGGAAUAUUGGGCAAUGGGCGAAAGCCUGACCCAGCAACGCCGCGUGGAGGAUGAAGGCCGUAAGGUUGUAAACUCCUGUUAGAGGAGAAGAACAGUACCGAUUGGAUCGGUAUUUGACUGUACCCUCAGAGAAAGCCCCGGCUAACUACGUGCCAGCAGCCGCGGUAAUACGUAGGGGGCAAGCGUUGUCCGGAUUUACUGGGUGUAAAGGGCGCGCAGGCGGGAUAGCAAGUCAGAGGUGAAAUCCUACAGCUUAACUGUAGAACUGCCUUUGAUACUGUUAUUCUUGAGUUCGGGAGAGAGAGACAGAAUUCCAGGCGUAGUGGUGAAAUACGUAGAUAUAAGGAAGAAUACCAGUGGCGAAGGCGGUCAACUGGCAUCCAACUGACGCUCAGACGCGAAAGCAUGGGUAGCGAACGGGAUUAGAAACCCCGGUAGUCCAUGCCGUAAACGAUGUACACUAAACGUUCGGUGUCGUAGAGGCAUUGAGUGUUGAAGCAAACGCGAUAAGUGUACCGCCUGGGGAGUACGGUCGCAAGGCUA